GAUGAACGCUGGCGGCGUGCUUAACACAUGCAAGUCGAACGGAAAGGCCCAAGCUUGCUUGGGUACUCGAGUGGCGAACGGGUGAGUAACACGUGGGUGAUCUGCCCUGCACUUCGGGAUAAGCCUGGGAAACUGGGUCUAAUACCGGAUAGGACCACAUUUUGGAUGGUGUGGUGGAAAGUUUUUCGGUGUGGGAUGAGCUCGCGGCCUAUCAGCUUGUUGGUGGGGUAAUGGCCUACCAAGGCGUCGACGGGUAGCCGGCCUGAGAGGGUGUACGGCCACAUUGGGACUGAGAUACGGCCCAGACUCCUACGGGAGGCAGCAGUGGGGAAUAUUGCACAAUGGGCGCAAGCCUGAUGCAGCAACGCCGCGUGGGGGAUGACGGCCUUCGGGUUGUAAACUCCUUUCGCUAGGGACGAAGCGUUUUUGUGACGGUACCUGGAGAAGAAGCACCGGCUAACUACGUG
rnacentral:rRNA from 1 species